ACAAGCCUGAGAAACGGCUAGUAGGACUAAGGUCUGCAGCAGGCGCGAAACUUACACAAUGCUAGAUUACCAUUUUAGCGAUGUAGUGAAGAAAAAUAACGAUGUACUUCCAUUUAAACAUGGUAGUACAAUUGGAAUGAGACGACUCUAAACCAGUCAGUCGAGUAACAAAUGGAGGGCAAGUCUGGUGCCAGCAGCCGCGGUAAUUCCAGCUCCAUUAGCAUACAUUAAAGUUGUUGCGGUUAAAAAGCUCGUAGUUGAAUUUCAUGCGAGUUUCGUUGGGGUGCAACCGUUCAAGGUCACGAGUAGGCUCCGAUCUACGCCUUAAAAAGCUAGCAUCGUCCUCUUGUUGGCUGGUUGUCGCUUUCCACUUGAAACUCGCUGUUUCGUCACUUAAUCAAGUGCGAAGCAAGCUGGAACAUCAAGUUGCGAUUCAUUUCGUAUACUAUGUUACAGCAAGUUUACCUUGAGAAAAUUAGAGUGCUCACAGCAGGCGGUUGGGGUGUAAAAACCUCUUUAUGCUUGAAUAAUGUUGCAUGGAAUAAUAGAAUACGGCCUCGGUUCUAUUCUGUUGGUCUUAUAGAACAACAAAUAAGUUGAUUGAGGCGUCAAACGGUCGGUUUGUGAGUGUGGUUAGAUUGUAGCUAGAUCUUGGUUCACUUGUUGCCUGGGGCCUUAAAAUCUCAGCUGCCUUGUAACCAUGUUUAUCUAGUUCGCUAACCAUCUAAAGCACUCCUUACGCAGGCUAGCCUUUCCAAUCAACUGAGGCAAUGGUUAAAAGAAAUAGUCGCGGCGGCAUCAGUACUGCAUCGUGAGAG
rnacentral:rRNA from 1 species